GAUGAACGCUGGCGGCGUGCCUAAUACAUGCGAGUCGAGCGAACGGACGAGAAGCUUGCUUCUCUGAUGUUAGCGGCGGACGGGUGAGUAACACGUGGAUAACCUACCUAUAAGACUGGGAUAACUUCGGGAAACCGGAGCUAAUACCGGAUGAUAUUUUGAACCGCAUGGUUCAAAAGUGAAAGACGGUCUUGCUGUCACUUAUAGAUGGAUCCGCGCUGCAUUAGCUAGUUGGUAAGGUAACGGCUUACCAAGGCAACGAUGCAUAGCCGACCUGAGAGGGUGAUCGGCCACACUGGAACUGAGACACGGUCCAGACUCCUACGGGAGGCAGCAGUAGGGAAUCUUCCGCAAUGGGCGAAAGCCUGACGGAGCAACGCCGCGUGAGUGAUGAAGGUCUUCGGAUCGUAAAACUCUGUCAUUAGGGAAGAACAUAUGUGUAAGUAACUGUGCACAUCUUGACGGUACCUAAUCAGAAAGCCACGGCUAACUACGUG
rnacentral:rRNA from 1 species